CUUAACGAGACUAACUUGUUCUGAGAUUCAGAGUAAAGGGAAACUAUACAGCUUAAUGUAGUGGUUCUAGUGUCUACAGCCUGUCCCUGCAUGCUGAGCAAAAUACAAUGUUUACAUUGCUGCUUUGUAACACCUCAUGUGGCAGUUGCUCAGAUGGUCACUAGAAGUGCUUCCUAGUCCAGUAAUGCAUAGUGUGCAGUACUUGCGUGCAUGGUGACACUAAACGUUCCCUAUAGAGAUGAAGUAAUAGUUUUACACUAAAAAAAAAUUGCAUACUUGGACAUAACAUAAAAGCAAAUACAUAUUUUAUACAUAAUCCCCAAUGUGUUCAUGGCAGAUAUUGAGGUGACUUGAGGCACAAAUAUGUGUCAUGGCUGAAAUUCACUGGCUUAGAGGAUCGCUCUACCUCUAUAGUUUUACAUUUUGAAGUAAUGGCACAUGCCUAUCUUAUUACACCCACACAGUGCUCUAGCAUUUGGAGAACCACAUCUGCAGCCAUCUAUUAAUAAGAAACGAUUGGGCACUGAAACUUAAUUGUAGGUAGUCUGGAGAAAGGCAAUGAAAAGCUGAAACCUCAUCUUGUGAUGUGGAAUAAAAGUAGCUUUAAAAAAUAACCUCUGGGUACCUGGCUCAUUCGUUGUAAUACAGAGGAUGGAACUUGCCACAGAGAACAAGAGAAGGUUUAGCUUGAUUUUAGAAAUCUAUUCUACCUUGGUUAAUACUGUAAGAGGAAGUCUGCUCACACAAUAAAC